rnacentral:rRNA from 1 species
UACGGAGGGUGCAAGCGUUGUCCGGAUUUAUUGGGUUUAAAGGGUGCGUAGGCGGCCUCUUAAGUCAGUGGUGAAAGCCCGGGGCUCAACCCCGGAACCGCCGUUGAUACUGGGGGGCUUGAGUAUGGACGAGGUUGGCGGAAUUGAGGGUGUAGCGGUGAAAUGCUUAGAUACCCUCAAGAACACCGAUUGCGUAGGCAGCUAACUAGGCCAUAACUGACGCUGAGGCACGAAAGCGUGGGGAGCGAACAGG